AUGACAAAGUACGAAAUAAAAACAAAUAAUAUUUGGAAAUAGCUCAAGUCACGUGACUCGCAAAUCCAAUAUUAUACUCGUAUGUCUCCUCGAUUCGUUAGUGUACUAUUGAAAUUGCUGAAAUUGUGGUCUCUGAUAUUUCUUAACCUUCAGGCCCAAACAUGCCUGGACAUUACGAGAACUGGCUUGUGGUACACAUUGUUUUAGAGGAAAUAGAAUUCGCUCCUUUAAUACAAGUUGCUUACGUAACAUCUAAAAUCAUGUCGUGCAAAUUCCACGACGAGGCUAGUAGAAACGAAGUUUUGAAACUUAUAAACGAGCUGGGUAGCACUGAAGUUGUGACGCGGACUAAACGAUUCCCUGACGCUUUCCUGGUUAAUCUAACACACGGCGAAUUCGCCGAACAACUAAAUAGCGUACGUUUGAUAUUGGAAUUCGACGAACAAGACCUUAGCGAAGAAAAGAAGAUGCAAAGAAGAAAUUCAUAUUAUUCAUCAUCUCAACGUUUGCGUACGAUGCUGUGCAACUUAAAACUUUAUCAAGAUCUUUAUGAUAGAGCUUCUUUCGAAAGAAGAAGCCAAUUGGUGUGGCGAGAACUAUUGAUGGAUGAUGAAACCUGGGAACGUAUAGUAGCUGCUAAUCUCGGAAUCAAUUAUGACCAGGCUCGAGCAUUAAAUUAAACAAAUGAAGUUAAAUUUUGUUGUUCCAGACACUCACAACUCAUGACUCCGUCAAUUAUUUACUGCUGCAAACCAUGGUAGAAGUUCGAAACUACAGCGUAGCUGAGAAGAAUUUUUCGUGUUCGAGUUUGUAUUGUGACAUACGCCGAAUUAGAAUGAAGAAUUAAUUAAGCUAGAUUUAGGUAGAUACAAAUUUUAAACAAUCAUCAUCGAUCAUUGAAAUAGUCGUAAAAAUAUUUGAAUUCCCGAUUAUACAUGGAGUUCUACUAAAUUUCUCAAUUUCUUUCUUCGAGUUUUGUUUUUUUUUUUUUCUCUAAGAAUAUGCAUUCUUGAAUUUGUUUCGAUCUCUAUAUUCACUUUUCUAUCUCACCCCAUUGCAUUUACAUUACGUUUACAUUACGUUAUGAAAUAGGACGCAGACAGGACAAAAUAGGAAAUGAGGAUAACAAUCAUCAAAAUUGAAUUAGCAAAAAAAAUGACCUGAUGCAUAUUUUUAUUUUUAUUUUUAUUUUAGUAUAUUUUAUUUUAUUUUUGCGUUUUAUUUUGUUUAAUUUUGUGGAAAAGGAAUGAAUAUUUACAAUCGUUCACAACGAUUCGAUAUAUUUUUUUAAUCUAUUGACGAUUUAUUAAAGUAGAAGAUUGUGCGAGAAUGAUAUUAUUAAUUGAUUAAACGAUAUAAAGAUUACGCGAGAAUUUUCAAAAGAAUUAGUCUAAAACGUAGUUAAGACGAAUUGAAAUAUAUUAGCUAUUCGGACAUACGAAUUGGAAUGUGUUAGCUAUUGGACAUACGAUUUUCAAUUUUUCAAUUUUAGUUUGCCGUGGAACAUCGUCGAUUGUGAGUUCUUUACGUGUCGAGAAAGUUUUAAAAACUCAAUCGUUACACGAAACUUGCAAUUUUAUUAUUAAAAGGAUUGUUGCGAGACAAUCAGAUCAGAUUAUUUAUGUGUCGAUGAAGAUUUUCGACAUAAAUUUUUUGAAAUUUAUUUUACGAUACCCUUAAUAUUAUUUGCAUUAAAAAAUUACCAUUUAUUUAUAAGUUAUUUAUAAGGUUUGCAAUUCAAUUAUAAUAUGAGCAAGUAUGACAGGACACGUCAUUUACGAACUAUUUGUAUUUUCUUCUCUUUAAUUUUAAAUAGUUAUUUAAGUUUUUAUUAUCACUAUUUAUUAAGCAUCUAUAUAUCCAUAAAUUAUAAGCUAUGAUAUAUUAGGAUUGUAAAUAUUUGCAUAAGCGUCUGCGCCGCGUCCACGAAAAAAUAUUGAUACAACGUUGAUGCAAACGUAUAUAAUAUAUAAUUAGUUUAUAUAUAAGUUAUAAGUAAUUUUACACAAUUUUACAUAAUUUUAACAAUACUUUACAAUUUCGUUUGAACUGUAUGUGCAAACUGGGGUGUAUUUUGAGACUUUUAGAAUUUAGAGAUUUUUAGAAUGUAGAGAUUUUUAGAAUCUAGAGAUUUUUAGAAUGUAGAGAUUUUUAGAAUGUAGAGAUUUUUAGAAUCUAGAGAUUUUUAGAAUUUAGAGAUUUUUAGAAUUUAGAGAUUUUUAGAUUUAGUUCAAGAAUAAUUGUAAUUCAACAUUUAUUAUCUUAAGUUAUUAUUAAGUAAUUGUAUAACACUUCAUCUUUCUAAUUUUAAAAAUUAUGUAGCCCUUUUUACUCUACACAAGAUCUUACAAUCUAACAUGACAUAGUAUAACAUAACAUAACAAUAUUGAAGAACAUAACCGAAGAAGGAACAGAAACAAAAAUAAAACCGCCGGCCCAAACACA